CCUACGGGAGGCAGCAGUGGGGAAUAUUGGACAAUGGGCGCAAGCCUGAUCCAGCAAUUCCGCGUGGGUGAAGAAGGUCUUCGGAUUGUAAAGCCCUUUCGUUGGGGAUGAUAAUGACAGUACCUGGAGAAUAAGCUCCGGCUAACUCCGUGCCAGCAGCCGCGGUAAU
rnacentral:rRNA from 1 species